GACGAACGCUGGCGGCGUGCCUAAUACAUGCAAGUCGAGCGAACUGAUUAAGAGCUUGCUCUUAUGACGUUAGCGGCGGACGGGUGAGUAACACGUGGACAACCUACCCUUUAGAUCGGGAUAACACCGAGAAAUCGGUGCUAAUACCGGAUAAUAUCUGAAAUCACAUGAUCUUAUGUUAAAAGAUGGCUCCGGCUAUCACUACAGGAUGGUCCCGCGCCGCAUUAGCUAGUGGGUAAGGUAAUGGCUUACCAAGGCGACGAUGCGUAGCGGACCUGAGAGGGUGAGAGGCGCCACUGGGGAUGAGAGACGGCCCAGAGUCCUCCGCGAGGCAGCAGUAGGGAAUCUUCUGCAAUGGACGAAAGUGUGACGGAGAACAGCGGCGUGAGUGAUGAAGGGGUUCGGCGCGUGAAGAACUGUUGUUAGGGGAGAAACAGUAUCGAACGAACUAGGUCGGUACCUUGACGGUACCUAACCAGAAAGCCACGGCUAACUACGUG
rnacentral:rRNA from 1 species